GGGCCCCGCUGGAGCUGGGGGCACCCGCGUCUGGCUUCGCCGCCCUGGGCUCCUUCCCGCAGGAAGUCACCACAGGAGAGGGCCGGGCGGGAGGGCGGCCGCCUUGGGGCCUGCCAUCCUCCCGACGGCGGCUCCGGCUUCCAGAGGCGCAGUCCCUGGGGACCAGGCACCACGUAGGAAGUGACGUCCAGGACCUGCAGAGCCAGGUGUGAAUUAGGCACGGUGACGCGUGUGUGACGGAGGAGGGGCGGCUCUUCCCCCAAAACCAUCCACCUGUCCCUGCACACGCACGCACACGCACGCACAUGCACAUGCACAUGCACACGCCCCGUGGGCCGUGCACUGCCUCACGCAUCGGCUUUCCCAGCGCCGGCCACAUGCCACGUCCAGACGCCCACAUCGUGAGAGCCCCCGGGAGGGAUCAGCAGCUCCGCGUGAAGGUCGCCAACACAGGAGCAGCCCGUGCCGGGCAGGCCCAGCGUGUGCACGCCUGCGCGACCCCCACGGGACGGGCCGGGUCCCGGCACCUCGGGGCCCUCGGGGAGGGAGCCGCACGGUGCUGACGACGUCCGACGGGCUCGUUCGCUCUGGUUUUGCGUUAGGGACCUUGCGUUAACUUUCUGCGUGGCACCACUGCUCGGUCUGGAGGAGGAAGGCGUGUGAGAACCCAGCAGCCCGGGUGCCAGCUGGGCUUGAGGACCCGAGAGUGACAGGGAACGGGGACUGACGUCAGUGACAUCGUCGCGGUGACGUUUAGUCCCCGGGAGCACCCAAGGGACAGGAGCAGGGACUAGAAAGCUGUUCUCUGACGUCACCCGCGCUCCAUAGCCAGCUGUGCCGGCCGCGGAGGUGGCGGCUCUGUCCCUCACUGAGGGGCAGGUGGUCGGGUCUCGGUGGCCUCGCUUUCCUGCUCCGUGAAUGGCGGUGGUUGCCACGCCUGGCUCGCCAGGGGCCCGUGAGGCACGUCGGGCGCCGACUUCGCCGUGUCCCGUCUGUGAGCGCGGGUCGGGAGGUGCGUCGGAGAUGAGCUGGUUCCUGCCACGUGGGAUAAGAAACAGGUUCCCGUUCUAACUUCUGAUUAACUCCAGGGCCCUGAUGUCAUCCCCACGAUGACACAGAGGGGUUGUUGUUGCCGCUUUUCGUCUUUGUUGUGGUCCGUUCGGUUUCCUAGGUUAGAGAUGAGCUCCCAGGUAGGCAGCCGGGCCGGUUCUCUGGGUGUGAGCUUGGAUCCCGUACGCGGCUUUGUAAGUGCUUAGUCCCCGUCACAUAGACUCUGCGUGGGGGGCUUGUGGGAGGGUGCAAGACCCUGAGGCAUGAGGACGGCCAGCUCCCAAGGUCGUGGGAAUUCUGCGUGGCCCGCAGGAGUGACAGACAGCGCCCUGCGCAUGUGCUGGGGCCAGCCCCCCGAGAAACUGGAGGGCGCGUGUGUUGGAAGGAAAUACAGAAGGUGACUAUCUGGCAAGGUGAGAUUACGCCUUGGUGACGAGGCCCUGGAAAGGCCACCUGCGCCGAGAUCAGAGCAGGGCUCCGGCAGGGGGUCCCAGAGGCGCCAUCGUGUGACAGCUGUGCGUGGAGAGCGUGUCGGUGACAGGGACGGGCGGGAGCACCACACAGGGCCAGGUCGGGUCCCAUCCUCCUGCCUGGGGCGAAGUGCAAAGGGCACGCGGAGGGCUCUCCUGGAGGCAAGGUCGGGCGCGUGAUCGGUUUCGGUGCGUGGAAGGUCAGCCUCCCUCCCCGCGGCCGCUUGCACUGAUCGUCACCCUCACGGCAGCGUCCCCAGCAGCACGUCACGCGGCCCCCCGUCGCGUCCCCACACUCCCCUCUGUGGCCACGAUCACGCCCCACGUGGCGGCCCCCAGGUCUCCCGUGCCCAACGCGCACCGGAGCACUGGCCGCAGGGGGCUGGAGGUGGGGGCGCAACACCCGCAAUUCCGGCCAGCCCCUCCCACAGACGCCAGGUGCGCCCCCGACUCCGCCUCCCAAUGGGGCGGGAAAACCCCCUCUUCCCCGGCAGCAGCCCCGGGGUUCGCCCACCCCGUCGCACUCCAUCGUGCCGUCCCUCCCACUAACGCCUCCCGCCUGGACCUGCCGCCCGCGCGUGGCUCCUGCCAGGGGACGCCUUCCCCGCGCGGCUGUCGCUGGCCGCGGCGAUGGCUCUUUAUUUGCCGGUUGCCUUUUCUCUCACGUACCUUCCCCCCCGGCUCUGUUCCUUCCGAGUUUUAUUUUUCUGCCCAGAAAAACCUGACUUCGAUACCAAAAAAAGAUAAAACUACAGAAACUCAAAUUUAAAAAAAACUUAGGAAAAAAACAAAAAAAAAAACACUCCACGAUUCUUUCAGCUUUAUUAACAUUUUCCAUCGUUUCUUGCGACUGUGUCUCGUUCUUUGUAGUAACUAAUGCUGAACAUUUGGUCAUGAACGUUCUUGUAUAUUCAGAGAAAGGAAAAAAAAAAACCAAAAAGGCGGUCUGAAUUUAAUAGUGUUUAUAAUAAAAAUUCUAAAGACGACCCUCCUAGCACGCAAAGCAGGACGGGGACGGCCCCUCUCCUCCUGCGACGUGCGCGUCAUUCCCGCAUUCGAUUCCGACACGAACUACCUGCAUUCAUCAUUUCCCUGUUUUUCUUUUAUUUUCUUGCAUUUGUGAAUUAGUUCAAGAAUGCUAGAAAAGUGUCGAGUUGUGCGCAUCCAUUUCCUGUUUCAUAAUGUUUAAAAGUGACAGUAAUUCAUUUUGUAAACUUAAAAAAAAAAAAAAAAGGUUGGAAUAGUGAGCAUCAUAGGUACAACCUAACACGUUAUUAUGUUUAUUAACUUUGAGACCCAGCAGUGAACCCCUUUCUUUAUUCCUGCUCUUUAAAAUAUAACAAAAAAAUAUAUAUAUGUUUCGUUUUGUGUUAUUUUUGGUUUGUUUAUGGGGGGGUGCUUUUUUUUAACUGUCAGGAUUAUAAUCUUGCUGUUUUUGUUCCUUAACUAUGUGACAAGGUGGUGUGAAAAGGCGACAUUAAACCAGGAGCUGUUUCCUUAUGCUCCGCUUUGGUCAGAAUCCACUGACUUCAAAAACAGAGGUCAAGCCACAUCCAGGUGGCACAUUGGCCAGUCCCUGAGCAAAGCAAAGUCGGGGGCCUGGCUUCUCCUUCCGGCCCUUUAGGAAUUCGAGGAGUCGUUCAGGGGACCUCGUGUGCCGCGGGGAAAGCCUUUUGCUUUUGUCGGUGUCAAAGGUCACCCCGAAAUGCUUUCCUUUCUUUCUUCCCGGCUAGUCAUGGCGUUCAGAACCCCGCAGGAGGCGUUGGCGGACGCCGCUGCCGAGCUAAGAGUCCUGGUUUUGGACAAAGCGUUGGUGGGAAAAUCGAGCCGGACUCAGUGCCGUCAUUUCGAGGUCAAGUCUGACGCCUUGACAGCAAAGCUCUUACUUCGGCAGCCGUUCCAAGCCGGUCGGAAAACUGGCUGGACGCAGAAUGUUCCUCUUAGUCACGGGGGGAAAGAAAGAAAACAUCAUUAUCUGCAAGAAACUUGACUUUAAACGUCUUUCGUUCGACCGGCGAGUAAGCGUUCAGAGCGCAGCGCGGCCUGAGCGGGCCGUGGGAGCGUGGGGCCUCGCGCAGCGACGCUUCCGAAAGCGUUCUGACCCCCACGAUCGACCGUGCUCUUGUUUUUAAGUCACAGCGAAAUAAUGACGCGCUUUUCACAUCACCUUUGCGGUUCCCACCCCUAGCUCCAAGCUGUCUGGAACCUUUUAUUUUUUGUAAACUUUUUUUUCCCUUUUGUUAAAAUAAAUAAAACAUUCGAUGUUCCGCCCCCGUCCCUCGCUCAUUCUUUCCUUCGGUGCUUCUCGUUACUUUGAAGUACUUUUCCCUGGGGGGGGGGGCCGCGCCCCCCGCCCCGUUCUCAUUAUUCAGAAUAUAAACCUGCGAAGCUCCGCUGUUUUGGUUUUGAAAGUUUAAGCUUCCCUGCUUCUGUGAGAGCACAGGCUUCUGUCCCUUCCGAUUCCAAGUGAACUCUGUGUUCUCCGAUUAUCCUGCCCAGGUGUAGGUUUGACAGUCUCCUGAUUUGUACCGGUAAUGCAUAUUCCAAAUAAAUAGUUUCUUUUGUUGCAAAAAA